rnacentral:rRNA from 1 species
CCAGACUCCUACGGGAGGCAGCAGUGGGGAAUAUUGCACAAUGGGGGAAACCCUGAUGCAGCGACGCCGCGUGAGCGAUGAAGUAUUUCGGUAUGUAAAGCUCUAUCAGCAGGGAAGAAAAUGACGGUACCUGACUAAGAAGCCCCGGCUAACUACGUGCCAGCAGCCGCGGUAAUACGUAGGGGGCAAGCGUUAUCCGGAUUUACUGGGUGUAAAGGGAGCGUAGACGGUCCUGCAAGCCAGAUGUGAAAGCCCGGGGCGCAACCCCGGGACUGCAUUUGGAACUGUAAGGCUAGAGUGUCGGAGAGGCGGGCGGAAUUCCUAGUGUAGCGGUGAAAUGCGUAGAUAUUAGGAGGAACACCAGUGGCGAAGGCGGCCUACUGGACGGUGACUGACGCUGAGGCUCGAAAGCGUGGGGAGCAAACAGGAUUAGAUACCCCAGUACAU